rnacentral:rRNA from 1 species
GACGUAGGGUGCGAGCGUUGUCCGGAUUUAUUGGGCGUAAAGAGCUCGUAGGCGGUCUGUCGCGUCGGAUGUGAAAACCCAGGGCUCAACCCUGGGCCUGCAUUCGAUACGGGCAGACUAGAGUAUGGCAGGGGAGACUGGAAUUCCUGGUGUAGCGGUGAAAUGCGUAGAGAUCAGGAGGAACACCUGUGGUGUAGACAGCUUACUGGACGAUAACUGACGCUGAGGAGCGAAAGCGUGGGGAGCGAACAGG